UUGCCAACCACUGAACUAGACUAUAAGGUGGCCAAACUUACCUACAAAGUUACAUUGUCAUUCAGACACUUAGCAUGUUUUGGCUGAAAACCAAAUACUGGUUAAUAUAUGACACAUGGAAGAAUAAAGAUCAGAUUCAUAUGUUAAGAUCCUUAGUACUUCUCCAUUGUUACAUAAUCCGCAUUUCCCCCCAGUAAGGGCACCGGUGCCACACACAUGGGUGGUGGGCACUUUCAUAACAGAUAAAAUUCUGACCCAUCUGUUGAACUCCAUGUCCUAAUGGGUGCUGACAGGCCUAUGUUAAAAAGACAUCUUAAAUAACGCCAAAAAAAAAUACACAACAGGGUGGGGCAAAAGUAGGUUUACAGCGGUAAGUACGUGAAACACGGAGUUUAUUUUUAUAUUACUAUUUAUUAAUUGUUGUAAUUUGUUGUAAUUGUUUUCCAUAUGAAAAAAUGUAAACCUCCUUUUGCUUCUCCCUGUAUAUUAGUUUUUGCACUGCCAGACAACCCUCCUGUUUCCUAGCUAGCCUUGGUUUUCAUGAUCAUUAACUACACCAUGUUUACCGAACUGACGGAAGCAUAGUGAGCUAUUGAUUUUAUGUCACCUGAUUUUAGGAUGCAGAAAACAUCUCAGGCCUGCUUGCAGCACCAUAUGUGUAUCGUUAAGCACAUGUAUGAUGAAGUCUUUAUUUUAAGUGCCUUAUAUUGCUUUCCUUGUUACCUCUGCCUGAUGAGGACUGCUGCUGUGAGCCUCAUUGCAGAAAGCCUGAAAUUGUAGAGCUGAAGAGGCAGGAGGAUCCUGUGAUGUUUUUUCAUAUCACCAUCCUCACAUUCCUGCAGCAUCUCUCUUGUGCCCAGAUAGAUGGGGCACUUAGCGUUCUGUUCCCUAGGAGUUAUACAAGUUGAGAAUAGAAAAGCUUUUAUAAGAAAUUCAGUACAUCCCUAACCAACCAUAUACUUAUUUUCACCCUUCUAGCCAGCCAUUCAUACUCCUAGAGUCCUGCACACCAACCCAUGAUUGAAGUAAAGGUUCUCAGCCACCCCAUUCCUUGUUACUUCUUACCUGCCUCGAUCGGAUCCUCCCUGGCUCCUGGCUCUUGGCUGCAUGGCUGCAAUUUUCAUUUUCACUUUUGAGUUCUAGUCUAGGCCUAGUGAUUUCCAGAGAAACACUGGCCACCUGUCUUAUAGGUGUCCGGGGAAUCAAGAAGACGUUACUCUAGCUAGUUGCUUUUUGGGAGCUCGGGAAAUGGGAGUUCCAGACCUGUGCUGAUCCUGCUGGUCCACAUCAGCGACAUAGCAGCUCGCACAGCCACCUUUGCUCUGUUCAGCCCUGCUUCUGAUUCCGGUGACUCACAGAUGCGGGAGACAGGCAUUUUAAAAGCUGCAUCUGGAACUCCAGCCGCAGGAGAGGCCGUGAGAAAUGCAGUUCUCACUUGCAGUCUUUCCAUUAGGACGUUGGAAUAAAGGCUAAGCAAGCUCUUCUACCUUAUCUACCUUUGUGAGUAAAGAGAUCUGAAUACUUUCAAGGCCUGUCAAAAUAUUCCAGCCCUUCAGGAG